rnacentral:rRNA from 1 species
AUUGAACGCUGGCGGCAGGCCUAACACAUGCAAGUCGAGCGGAUGAAGAGAGCUUGCUCCAUGAUUCAGCGGCGGACGGGUGAGUAAUGCCUAGGAAUCUGCCUGGUAGUGGGGGACAACGCUUCGAAAGGAACGCUAAUACCGCAUACGUCCUACGGGAGAAAGUAGGGGAUCUUCGGGCCUUGCGAUACCAGCUGAGCCUAGGUCGGAUUAGCUAGUAGGUGAGGUAAAGGCUCACCUAGGCGACGAUCCGUAACUGGUCUGAGAGGAUGAUCAAUCACACUGGAACUGAGACACGGUCCAGACUCCUACGGGAGGCAGCAGUGGGGAAUAUUGGACAAUGGGCGAAAGCCUGAUCCAGCCAUGCCGCGUGUGUGAAGAAGGUCUUCGGAUUGUAAAGCACUUUAAGUUGGGAGGAAGGGCAGUAAGCUAAUACCUUGCUGUUUUGACGUUACCGACAGAAUAAGCACCGGCUAACUCUGUGCCAGCCGCCGCCGUAAAAC